UCCUACGGGAGGCAGCAGUGGGGAAUCUUGGACGAUGGGCGCAAGCCUGAUCCAGCCAUGCCGCGUGAGUGAUGAAGGCCUUAGGGUCGUAAAGCUCUUUCGCCAGGGAUGAUAAUGACAGUACCUGGUAAAGAAACCCCGGCUAACUCCGUGCCAGCAGCCGCGGUAAUACGGAGGGGGUUAGCGUUGUUCGGAAUUACUGGGCGUAAAGCGCGCGUAGGCGGAUUAGAAAGUUGGGGGUGAAAUCCCAGGGCUCAACCCUGGAACUGCCUCCAAAACUACUAGUCUAGAGUUCGAGAGAGGUGAGUGGAAUUCCGAGUGUAGAGGUGAAAUUCGUAGAUAUUCGGAGGAACACCAGUGGCGAAGGCGGCUCACUGGCUCGAUACUGACGCUGAGGUGCGAAAGUGUGGGGAGCAAACAGGAUUAGAUACCCUGGUAGUCCACACCGUAAACGAUGAAUGCCAGUCGUCAGGAGGCUUGCCUCUUGGUGACACACCUAACGGAUUAAGCAUUCCGCCUGGGGAGUACGGUCGCAAGAUUAAAACUCAAAUGAAUUGACGGA
rnacentral:rRNA from 1 species